AAUUUCAUAAUUAACAUUUUCAGGGUAAGAUGGAUAGGACAUCGCAGUUGCAAGGCUUUCAACAAAAGCCUGGAGAUACAUGAAAUAUUAUAUUGACGCUGGGAACACAGUUGAGAGCAAAGCAGAAGCACCGACCUUGAUAGAGUCUCCAUGAGGGUUUGAUACACAGUCUCUUCAGGAUCUCUGUAGAAGAAGAGAUCAGGCAUCCCCUCCCACAGGUGUUCACAGGAAAUGGUGCCACACAUGUGCAGAAGUUUCCAGGCCAGCAUCCACCACAUCAAACCCACUGAGUGAGCUCCCUUCUUGCAUGGGAUGGCAAUGUCCACAUAGCACAGCGGAGAAUCUGUAUUACGUGGAGCAAUGGUAUGUAAGUUAACAUAAGAUGCCUCUGUGAGAGGCAGUGGUCAGCCCUGGAAUCAGUAAAGAAAAGAUGCUGUGGCUCCUGGAAGGUUGCCUGGAUCUGGUUAGUGAAGAUUCCAGGAGUGAAGCGGCCAGCAAUUGGAGUGGCUCCAGUGGCAGCAGCAAACUUCAGUAUGGCCCUCUGGCCAGUAUUCCUGGAGGAUAUGACGCGGACAUCAGCAGGGUUUUCAAUGGCAACAAUGGCACAAGCUGCCAACAGAAGCUUCUCCCAGGUCCUCUUCAGAUUUAUGAUAUAGACGCCGUCACAUUUCUUUUUAUAAAUGUAUUGUUUCAUUUGGAAGUCAAGGUUGGUGCCACCUAAGUGGAUUCCUGCUGCAAGGAACUUAAGGACAUCCUCCUCCUCCAUUUGCAGGACAUCAAGGGCUCUGUACACUGUAAAAGUUUCCCUUUAAGUUACAACAGGAAUCUAGAACAUCGCCAUAUGGACCCCUCUCUGGGUAGCACAAAAAAGCCCAUUCUCUAGUUGAUAGAUAUUUGGGUUGUUUCCAGGAUUUGGCUAUUAUGAGUAAAACUGCUAUGAACAUCCAUGCAUAAGUCUUUUUGUGAACAUAGGCUUUCAUUUAUCUUGGGUAAAUGACCAGGAGUGGAAUUUUAGAUCACUUAGAAAGUAUGUGUUUCACUUUAUAAGGCACUGUCAGACUGUGUUACUAAGUUGAUGUACCAUUUUAUAAAUCCACCAGAAAUAUAUGAGCAGACCAGUUUUUUAAAAUCUUUGCCAAUCCUUGAUAUUGUCAAUAAUAUAAGUUUAAAAAGGGGAACAAUAAAAGUACUAGACAGAAAUGUAGAACAUAUUUUGUAAAAACAGAAUAAGAGAAAUUGUUUCUAAGUGAUAGUUGAAAGCUUGAUGUCAUAAAGAAAGCUUGACUCCAUAAAACAUAAAAUAACUACAUGACAAUAAUAAUGUCAAAUGAGAAGAGAAAAAAAUGUCUAAAAUAUUUGUCGGACAUAUUAAAUAUAUUAAUGUCCUUAUUUUUUAAAGAGCUCUUAUAAAUUAAUAUGUAAAAUACAUCGAUCCAGCAAAGGUGAAGAGCAGGCAGUUCAUAACAGAAAGAUAUUUUAAAGGUGUAUAAAGUUGUCCAAUUUCACUCAAAAUUAUUGAAAUAUGAAUUAAAACAAAAUAUGUCAUACUUCUAUCAAAUAAAAAGAUGAUUUUUGGCUAUGUACUGUGUUGGCAAGAGUUUUGGGAGAAAGAGCUUCUCAUACACUGUUAUUGGCUAUAUUAAUUUGUAUUUUCCCAUUGGACCACAGUUUACUGUAUACACAGUGCUUUGGGAAGUACUCUCUUAAAUGGGUUUUUCUUCUGCUCUCACACCACCACAAUAAUAAUCAACACAGAAGAAGACUUCUCUGACCAAAAGUGAGGGGUUUUUAACCAUACAACAAGCAGUGGACAACAGCUGGGUGUCCUCCUAUUCAGUACCAAUACUAUAUACCCAGAGACAGUGUCAGAUCCCACAGGUUAAUACUCAACACCAUAAGAUCAUCCUCUCCUUCCCUGAAGUCGCAAUUCCAGGCCUCUGGAACUUCUGACCAAUUGGCUUCAAGUUGGCGCUCCCACGAUCCCAUCUUUGAGAUUGAUUUAUUUGUUAGAGCAGCUCACAGAACUCAGGGAAUCAUAUUUACUGGCUUACUAUCAAGCAUAUUUUCCAAGAUACAAAUAAACAGCCAGAUGAAGAGAUACAUGGGGUGAGGUCUGGGAGGAUUUGUAAGUGCAGCAGCUUCUGUCCCUGUAGAGUUGGGGUGCACCAACUUCCUGGCAUGUGAAAGAGUUUUUCACCUUCCUGUCAUGCUCAAUGUGUUCAGCUCUCCAGAAGCUCCUGGAACUCCAUCCUUUGGGCCUUUUAUGGAGAAUUCAUUGGUUGUCAAUGAUUAAAGCAUGGACAACUAUGUCAAAAUGUGAUUGGACAAAAAGGAUGUGGCCUAAACUCAGCAAGCCUUGUCCAUUCAGAUUCUUCUUGAUCUCUCUGUACAGCAUUCCUUCCUCUGGAGUAGGGGGCAGGACCCUCUCUAGAAUGAGGGUUUUAUGACCUAUAAUUGGACUAUAGUCCUAUCUCGGGUGGGUAAAAGGAAGACAGAAGUUCAGAGAGAAAGCUUUUGUUUCCUCAGGCUUGCUUCUGAGCCCUAAAUUUCUCCAACAUUAUAACCAAGAUUGUGACAAUGAUUAUGAAAGUUACGAACUAGGAACCACAGAUGGAAAUGAAUCAUAAUAUCACACAGGCAUUAGGAUUUAAUGUUGAAUGUUUAUAAAGUGUAUUUUACAUAUAUUGCCUAAAUUUAUACUACCAACACCACAAGAAUUAGUUAUUUUAUAUUCUCAUUUUAAAAAUAAAAAACCUAGAGUUUAGAGAGAUGCCUUAUCCAGUCAGGUCAUAUAACUAGUAAGUGGCAUAGCUUGGUAUAGAGCCCUUAACUUUGAAUUUCAAGUUCAGUUACAUUUUCAUUAAUCAGAGUUGACUUACCUUGAAACACAUGUGUUUUGUACAUCAAUGCAUGUCACUAUUUCAUGCAAUGAAUGUAAAGAUGCUACAUUUUAUUACCUAGAUAAUGUGCUGGUUUUGUCCUAUUUCUAAGUUUGUAGAAUUGCUGUAGAAAUAUUGAGAACAUUCCUUUUUUUUCCUUAUUAAAAUCUUGAAGAGGUG